GUGAAAGCAUUUUAUAUAAAAACAGUUUAUUUUCUUGAUCUUUUCAUAACAAAACAACUUCUGGAUAUCAAAGUGUGCGUUUCAAAUAUUACAAUGCAAAUCAUUUAAAUGGCAAAAUUACUGGCGAAAGUCGGCAGACCAUCGUAAUCCGAGAAGUAUACGGGAAAGACGCCACUAAUUGUUGUCAAAGACAAUGGAGAAGCAGCAGUGGUAGCAGUAUUUCAGUUUUUCCUAAUUUCAUUAUGAUGGAAAGACCUCGAAAGAUUGACAAAUCCCACGGUUUCAUGCAAUCGAUAAUCAAGAACCAAGUUCUUCGAGACGAAUACGAUAAGGAACAGAAAUACUUAACCGAAGGGAAAAAAUUAACUCGACCUGAAGACCAACAAAUGAAAGAUGAACAUCUAGAAAUUGGUGUGAAAAGAUCUCGGGAAAAACUGAAGAAUCAAAAGCAAAAUCAAAGCGAGUAGCAAAACAAUUAUAUGUGCCGCCACACGCAAAAAGGCGCUCAGCGAGUGAAACUAGCUCAAAAGCACCACCAGCUUUACAAAGAGAACAAACAAAUCCAAGGAGAAACUCGACUCACAAUAGAGUAGAGUCCAGAGUACUUUUCAAAUUUGAAUAUGAGAAUGAAGAGGGUGAAGUACAAUCGAUACUUGUGAAAGAGGAUGAUAAUGCAGAGGAUCUAGCUGAAACAUUUGGAAAUCAGCUAGGAUUAACAAAAGCUUUUAGAAAGGCUCUUCAUAUCAGGCUCAAACAAGAAAUGGAUAACUUUUUAAACAGUUAAUCUAUAAUUAUUUUUAUUGAAUCCAUAAAGAAAGACUUUAUAAUACCAUUAUUAGUACACUGAUAUACUAUAUAAAAAAACUUUUUGUUUGCAAA